rnacentral:misc_RNA from 1 species
CAAAACUGUGCGGGAGGGGGCUUGUUUUUAGCAGUCAGCAAGGUCGUUCUUUGUGUCAAAAAUUAAGCUUGUGACGAAUAUUCAAGUUUUUAUUAUUUACAUCUGGUGAUUGACUGUUUGUGCGUGGUAACAAAGGUCGUAGUGCGCGUAUGACGGUAAUAAUAAUUAGUUUUUAAAAACUCGUAAUUACGAACGUUCCAAUGAGUUUGGGAGGAGGUAAUAGCACAGAGGGAUCAAAUGCAGGAGGAAUUUUCGUACAAUUUAACCAGGAUUGCACCUCACUAGUAGCUGGUAGCAGUAGCGGUUACCACUUGUUUGCGCUUACCCCGGACGAUGGCGUCGAGGAAAUAUACGCGAGCCGCUCCGGCCAGGAGACUUGUCUUGUUGACCGACUGUUCAGCAGUUCGCUGGUGGCCAUCGUCACAGUUUCAGCUCCCAGGAAGUUGAUCGUGUGCCAUUACAAGAAAGGGACGGAGAUAUGCAACUACAGCUACAGCAAUACAAUCUUGGCUGUAAAACUUAAUCGUUCUAGACUGAUAGUGUGCCUCGAGGAGUCCCUGCACAUCCACAACAUACGCGACAUGAAGAUACUGCACACGAUCCGAGACACGCCGCCCAACCCGCGCGGGCUGUGCGCGCUGUCGCCGUGCGUCGACCACUGCUAUGUGGCGUACCCUGGCUCCAGCGCGGUCGGCGAGGUGCAGAUCUUCGACGCCGUGCAUUUGAACGCGAAGUGCGUGAUAAGCGCGCACGACAGCCCGCUGGCGGCGCUCGCGUGGUCCAUGUGCGGGCGGCGGCUGGCCACCGCGUCGGAGCGCGGCACCGUGAUCCGCGUGUUCGCCGUGCCCGAGCGCACGCGCCUGUACGAGUUCCGGCGCGGCGUCAAGCGCUGCGUGUCCAUCGCGUGCCUGGCGUUCAGCGCGUGCGGCGCCUACCUCGCGGCCACGUCCAACACGGAGACCGUGCACGUGUUCCGGCUGCAGGAGGGCGGCGAGCGCGCGCCCGACGACGCCGCCGCGCCGCCCGAGCCCGGCUGGGUGGACUGGAUGUCGCAGACGCUGUCCGCCGGCCUCGUGUACCUGCCCGCGCAGGUCAGCGACGUGCUCAGCCAGGGCCGCGCCUUCGCCUCCGCCAAGCUGCCGCGGGCCGGCUGCCGGGCCGUCGCCGCCGUCACUAACGUGUCCCGCGCGGCGCGGCUGCUGGUGGCGACGUCGGAGGGCGUGCUGUACGUGUACGCGCUGGACGCGGCCGACGGCGGCGACUGCGCGCUGCUGCGCUCGCACCCGCUGCUCGACUGCGCGCCGCCCGCCUGCGACGACGCGGCGCGGCGGGCGGCCGGCGACGCGUAGCGACGGUAAGUGGCGCCGCGCUCGGCACUCGCCCUUGGAUAGGCGCCCAUUAGAAUCGGAGCGCGAGCACGAGCUCGGCGCGGCGCUGGCGGGCUCGCCGCCGCGCGGCGCGUACGACAUCCGCGACCCGCGCCACUUCCCGCCCAUGCGCGCGCCCGACGCCGCCGCCGACUAGACGCGUACGCAUCUAGCCCGUAGCCUGCAGCGUCUAGACUCUAAGCCUCUAGCGCGGACACUGACGAUCACUUAUUAUCACUUCAUUUGUAUUGUUUUUAGGGUCUUAGAGCCGGUUCACGACGAUCUGUUUGGCUCAUUGGUCAGAUGAAUGUCAAAAAAAAUGUAUGAAAAGUAAAAAAUAGGUCGUGAAACUGGUUCGCAAUCUUCAAUGUCACUAGACUAUAUUAAACGUUUUUCAGUCUUUAUGAAACCGAAAUGGACUAUUGUAAACAUAUAUUAUAUGAUAUUUGAUGUGACAAAUCAGUUAAAGGGUGUUCUGUUUAUCCUAAAAAUUUUAUUAAGUGCGAUGGGUAAAUACGGAUAGUAAAAUAAAUUUGUAGCUGAUUGUUGUAAUAAAUAUGGAUGCUUUUAUAUUCUACCGUAUAUAUGAUUUGUUCAUACGAUUCUCAUUAUGAAUAAAUGUGAAUUAUAAUGGAAAAUCUAAAUUAAGGAAUGGAGUCAUGUUAUUGUUAAACUAAGAAAUUAAAAAAAAAAACUGAUUUUCAACUUUUGAAUCGUUGUUUAAACUGAUCCUUUGUUUCUAAGCUAAAAUUAUUGAAAGUCUCAUAGUCAACAUGCUUGCUACAUUAUAGUAAAAUUAUGAGAGGGACAUGUAACUUAUAUUAUAAUCAAAAAUUCUUAAAAUCGACUUCUAGGAUGGAUAACCAUAUCAGUAAAAUAUUUCUUCUUUACCUUUAUAAUAUAUGUUCUAAUAGUACUUCGUACGAAAACUGUAAUCGAAAUCUGAAUGUACAUCUACGCAUCAUAUACGGCAGUAUAAAUGUUUUUACUUCAGAAAAAAAAGACACAGUACAGAAAUACUCUAAAAGAAGUAUUUCUGUUAAUAUAAGAAUUCUGCCAUGUAGUUGUGCGAAACAUCAAAAUUUUACAUUUCAAUCCAAAUUCAAAUUUGUUUUUUUUUAUUUGUAUGAAUCAAAUUAUCGUCAGUGAGUGAUGUUCUGGAGACGUGGUGUGUACUUGUGACUGCCUCCGCCGACUGUUCAUCAUUCGGUGUCUGAGCCUUAUCAUUAUGUGAUAUUUAUUAUUAUUAUUAUUAUCUCAUGUUUGUACCACUUUAUUCAAUGAUGUAGAAUUUUCCCAAAAAUAUAUAUCAUAUUGACGGAGACAUUUUCCACUUUUUAUUAUUUUAUAUAUACUUUUAAAUUUUAGUCUUAGCAAAAUAACUUGUGGAAAAUGUUGCAAUGUGACGAAUUUUCGAAGAAGUAACGAUUAUAUAUUUAGUGUAAAGUUAAUUUAAUUUUUGUUUAUAAUAAUAAUGUAUAUCAAUUGAUUAAUGCAAUGAUGAACAGUGGCGCCCUCGUAAUUUAAAUUUUAAUUCAAAAACGUUUCUCUUGACUUGCAUUAGAAGAAAAAUAACAAAAAAAAACCUAUAUUUUAGAACGGUUUACUAUACCCAUAUGUAUGAUAUUUAUGUAACUAUGUAGUUUGGCUCCGAAUAUACGUAUGUAUGUCGAAAUGUACAUAGGAGUAAGUAAUUUUUAAAUUUUUAGAUGUAAUUCGACGAUCUGAGCUCAUUGAACAUUUUAAUAUCGAGCGAAGUACGGGUUCAGCCUUGUAUAUAGAUUGUAAUUAUAUGAGCCGUGUAAUAUAUUUUUUAUCUUUAGACUAUGCAAUGUGAUAACGUUAAUACUUUGUAUGGCUAUUUGUGUGAUCAUAGAGUUAGGGAUGAUUGGUAAAGUUCGACACACGUCGCGUCCGCGAAAAAAAUGAAAAAAAUUGUAUAUAAAAAGGCGGACGCGGGUUAAAUCAUAGUUGUAAUGCACCGUGCAUGAGGCUUUACGGAAAUUGUAUCGUACAAUCUGUUUACUUCUAGAGAUAAUGUGAAUGAGAUAAAAUACAUGAAAAAUAUGAUAAAAAUAGUGAAGUACAGGUAAAGCCGUUUGGGCAGUAGAUUUAUGUUUUCGUUCGUCGCAACCAACUCAUGAAUGGACGAGCAUUGUGGCGUGGGACAUUCAUAUCUUAAUAUUAAAGAUAAUAAUUGUGUAAGUGUACAAAAAAAAAAUAAUAAAAAAUAUAAUCAAUUUACUUUUGUCGGAUAAAAAUUAGAGCGUACGCACAAUAUGCGUAUUCACGUGCAAUUUUUAAAACAUUCUGUGUAUUAGAAAGGAUUAUAAAUUAAUAAUUGCGCUCUCAGCCGUUUGUUCCGCGUUCGCUUCGACAGCACUGUCUAUGUCCCGUUCGCUGCUUAGAUACAAAAUUGUACAUAUUAAAUAAAUAUUUUUACAAAACACCA